rnacentral:sRNA from 1 species
GCUAGGCAGGAAACUCCAAAUUCUGUGAUAUCUCUAACCCAAGUAGAAGGAGCACUGACCUACUUGCAGAUCACACUGGAAAGACCAACCGAUCAAUUGAAGUUUGUAACAGACCUGCACAAAGAGAAGGCUUCAUCAAUGCUGUAUUUUCCUGCUGCAUGAAAGAGUUAUACUUCUUGUUGACUGAAAAAACGUACAAGGAAGGCCUUUGGAAUACGGAAGAAAGAAAAGGACACUGAUUCUACGUAUGUACUUUAGGAGUUUGCCUCCUCGAAGAAGCUACUUGCAUAAGAGAUGCUCUUGUCACAGUCAAUAUAAGAUGGCCACAGUUUUCUCGGAUAUUGUGUACUAUUUGCUUUCCUCAUUUCUGAGUAAAUUGUAAUUAUUCAAUAUAAACAGUUCUUAGAUUUAUGCUAAAAAGGUAAACAUUUUUAAUCAUG